CCUACGUGAGGCUGCAGUGAGGAAUAUUGGUCAAUGGGCGCGAGCCUGAACCAGCCAAGUCGCGUGAGGGAAGACGGUCCUAUGGAUUGUAAACCUCUUUUGUCUGGGAGCAAAGAGAGUCACGUGUGACUCAUUGAUAGUACCCGAAGAAAAAGCAUCGGCUAACUCCGUGCCAGCAGCCGCGGUAAUACGGAGGAUGCGAGCGUUAUCCGGAUUUAUUGGGUUUAAAGGGAGGGUAGGUGGAUUGUUAAGUCAGUUGUGAAAGUUUGCGGCUCAACCGUAAAAUUGCAGUUGAAACUGGCAGUCUUGAGUACAGUAGAGGUGGGCGGAAUGCGUGGUGGAGCGGUGAAAUGCAUAGAUAUCACGAAGAACCCCGAGUGCGAAGGCAGCUUACUAAACUGUGACUGACAUUGAUGCUCGAAAGUGUGGGUAUCAAACAGGAUUAGAGACCCCUGUAGUC
rnacentral:rRNA from 1 species